rnacentral:rRNA from 1 species
ACGUAGGAGGCGAGCGUUAUCCGGAUUCACUGGGCGUAAAGCGCGUGCAGGCGGUUCGGUAAGUUUGGCGUGAAAUCCCCCGGCUCAACCGGGGGAGGUCGUUCAAUACUGCGGGACUUGAGAGCGGUAGAGGAAAAUGGAAUUCCAGGUGUAGUGGUGAAAUGCGUAGAUAUCGGGAGGAACACCAGUGGCGAAGGCGAUUUUCUGGAUCGUUUCUGACGCUCAGGCGCGAAAGCGUGGGGAGCAAACGG